GAUGAACGCUGACAGAAUGCUUAACACAUGCAAGUCGAUUCGAUUUACCUUCGGGUAUUGAGGAUGGCGGGCGGGUGAGUAACGCGUAAGGAACUUGCCUCUUGGUCUGGGACAACUGUUGGAAACGACAGCUAAUACCGGAUAUUAUGAGAUUCUCGCAUGGGAAACUUAUGAAAGCUAUAUGCGCCAAGAGAGAGCCUUGCGUUCCGUUAGCUAGUUGGUGGGGUAACGGCCCACCAAGGCGACGAUGGAUAGCCGGCCUGAGAGGGUGAACGGCCACAAGGGGACUGAGACACGGCCCUUACUCCUACGGGAGGCAGCAGUGGGGAAUAUUGGACAAUGGGCCACAAGCCUGAUCCAGCAAUUCUGUGUGCACGAUGAAGGUCUUCGGAUUGUAAAGUGCUUUCAGUUGGGAAGAAGAAAGUGACGGUACCAACAGAAGAAGCGACGGCUAAAUACGUGCCAGCAGCCGCGGUAAUACGUAUGUCGCAAGCGUUAUCCGGAUUUAUUGGGCGUAGAGCGCGUCUAGGCGGAAAAAUAAGUCUGAUGUUAAAAUGCGGGGCUCAACUCCGUAUUGCGUUGGAAACUGUUUUUCUAGAGUACUGGAGAGGUGGGCGGAACUACAAGUGUAGAGGUGAAAUUCGUAGAUAUUUGUAGGAAUGCCGAUGGAGAAGUCAGCUCACUGGACAGAUACUGACGCUAAANCGCGAAA
rnacentral:rRNA from 1 species